CCUACGGGGGGCAGCAGUGGGGGAUAUUGCACAAUGGGGGAAACCCUGAUGCAGCGACGCCGCGUGAGGGAAGACGGUCCUCUGGAGUGUAAACCACUGUCCCCAGGGACGAAGAUGAUGGUACCUGGGGAGGAAGCUCCGGCAAACAACGUGACAGCAGCCGCGGUAAUACGUGGGGAGGGGGUGUUCCCCGGAAUUACUGGGUUAAAGGGGAGCGGAGGGGGGGAUGAAAGUUGGGUGGCAAACCUACCGGCUCACCUGGUAGUCGCACUUCAAACUGCAGCUCUUGAGUGAAGUAGCGGCAGGCGGAAUUCCUAGUGUAGCGGUGAAAUGCGUAGAUAUUAGGAGGAACACCAGUGGCGAAGGCGGCCUGCUGGGCUUUUACUGACGCUGAGGCUCGAAAGUGUGGGGAGCAAACAGGAUUAGAUACCCCGGUAGUC
rnacentral:rRNA from 1 species